rnacentral:rRNA from 1 species
GACGGGUAGCUGGUCUGAGAGGAUGGUCAGCCACACUGGGACUGAGACACUGCCCAGACUCCUACGGGAGGCUGCAGUCGAGAAUCUUUAGCAAUGGACGAAAGUCUGACUAUGCGACGCCGCGUGCAGGAUGAAGGUUUUCGGAUCGUAAGCUGCUUUUGUCAGGAAAGAAAAUUCUCAGCUCUAACAGAGCUGAGGACUGACGGUACCUGACGAAUAAGCCACGGCCAACUCCGUGCCAGCAGCCGCGGUAAUACGGAGGUGGCGAGCGUUACUCGGAAUUAUUGGGUGUAAAGGGCAAGUAGGCGGUCUAUUAAGUGAGGGGUGAAAUCUUCCGACUCAAUCGGAAAAUUGCCUUUCAAACUAAUAGACUUGAGAUUGGAAGAGGGAAACGGAAUUAGCAGUGUAAGGGUGAAAUCUGUAGAUAUUGCUAAGAACACCGGCGGCGAAGGCGGUUUCCUGGUCCAAUUCUGACGCUAAAUUGCGAAAGCUAGGGGAGCAAACAGAAUUAGAUACUCUGGUAGUCCUAGCUGUAAACGAUGAGUACUAGGUGUCGGCCCUUCGGGGUCGGUGCCGCAGCUAACGCAUUAAGUACUCCACCUGGGGACUACGGCCGCAAGGCUAAAACUCAAAGGAAUUGACGGGGACCCGCACAAGCGGUGGAACAUGUGGUUUAAUUCGAUGCUACGCGAAGAACCUCACCAAGGCUUGACUUGCUCGUCGUAUCUUUCUGAAAGGGGAGAGUCAUUUAGUUGGACGAUGCACAGGUGCUGCAUGGCUGUCGUCAGCUCGUGUCGUGAGAUGUUGGGUUAAGUCCCGCAACGAGCGCAACCAUUGCCCCAUGUUGCUAACAUAUUUUGACCUUCGGGUUUGAAUGUGCGCACUCUUGGGGGACUGCCCGGGAUAACCGGGAGGAAGGUGGAGAUGACGUCAAGUCAGUACGGCCCUUAUGCCUUGGGCUACACACGUGUUACAAUGGACGGUACAGAGGGUUGCCAACCCGCGAGGGGGAGCUAAUCUCAAAAAGCCGUCCUCAGUUCGGAUUGGAGUCUGCAAUUCGACUCCAUGAAGUCGGAAUCGCUAGUAAUGGGAGAUCAGCUCGCUCCCGUGAAUACGUUCCCGGGUCUUGUACACACCGCCCGUCAAGCGAUGAAAGCUGGGAGUACCCGAAGUCCUAUGUAGGUAGGCCGAAGGUAAAACUAGUGAUUGGCGCUAAGUCGAAACAAGGUA